GCAGAGACCCACCCUCGUACCUUUUGCAUCAUGAUUCAGCCAGUAAAUGUAAGCAAAGAGCCCUCUAGUUUAUAACCCCGAAACUUGACGAGCUACUCCGAGACAGUCAUUUAUGGACUAACCCGUCUCUGUGGCAAAAGAGUGGGAAGAUCUCCGAGUAGAGGCAAUAAACCUACCGAGCCAAGUUAUAGCUGGUUGCCCGAUAAAUGAAUAAAAGUUCAGCUCCGCCAAGCCCAACUCAAAAAAGUCCCACUAAGAAAAGACAAAGAGCUUUACGCGGAAGUUAAUCAGAGGAGGUACAGCUCCCCUGAUCAAGGACACAACCUUAACAGGAGAUUAAAGAAUAUUUCGAUUAAGGCUAUAGGUCUUGGUGGGCCUAAAAGCAGCCAUCCAAUCAGAAAGCGUUAAAGCUCUGACCUCAGGAAAGCCCAUUAUUCUAUUUUUUUACCCUAUAUCCCUUUUACUCAUUGGGCCCUCCCAUGCCCCCAUAGGAGAGAUUAUGCUGAAACAAGUAACAAGAAGAACGAACUUCUCCCUGCACAAGUGUAAGUCGAAUUGGACUAGCCAUCGAUGCUUAACGAACCCAAUAAAAGAGGGCCGUAUAUCACCGCCAUCUUUAGCCAAGAAAACUAUAUAUACUCUUAUCGUUACCCCCACACAGGAGUGCUCAUUUAGGGAAAGACUUAAAGAAAAAAAAGGAACUCGGCAAACUCUAACCCCGCCUGUUUACCAAAAACAUCGCCUCUUGCAUUAAAAGAAUAAGAGGUCCCACCU
rnacentral:rRNA from 1 species